CUACGAAAACUGCACAAUGUGGGAAACCACGAUGCGGGUAUUCCGAGUGACAACGCUUUGCGUUGUCUGUUCUUUCGCCUAAAAAGCGAGAGAAGUAAGGGCCGGGUAAGACGGGUGCCAGCCGCCGCGGUAAUACCCGCGGCCCGAGUGGUGCUCAUUGUUAUUGAGCUUAAAGCGUUCGUAGCCGGCCUCGUAAAUCCUUGGGUAAAUCGGGCAGCUCAACUGUUCGAAUUCCGAGGAGACUGCGAGGCUCGGGACCGGGAGAGGUCAGAGGUACUUCGGGGUAGGGGUAAAAUCCUGUAAUCCUCGAAGGACCACCAGUGGCGAAGGCGUCUGACUAGAACGGAUCCGACGGUGAGGGACGAAGCCCUGGGGCGCAAACGGGAUUAGAUACCCCGGUAGUCCAGGGUGUAAACGAUGCGCGUUAGGUGUAUCGGUGACCACGAGUCACCGAGGUGCCGAAGAGAAAUCGUGAAACGUGCCGCCUGGGAAGUACGGUCGCAAGGCUGAAACUUAAAGGAAUUGGCGGGGGAGCGACCACAACAGGUGGAGCCGUGUC
rnacentral:rRNA from 1 species